GUGUGUGUGUGUACUUGCAUUUAUUACGUUGUAGGGCCCCGAAACAGGGAGCACACCAGCGGUAUGGGGCCCACCUACCUCGUGGGGCCCUAAAAUCAGGGCCCCACACCGUUUUUGAUGUAUAUGGGCUCAGAAGCCUCCCCUGAUACUCCUGUUGCUUUUUAACUAAAGUCCCAUAAAGUAACAAAAACUGGAAAAGUGUGUGUAAUGUGUGUGUAGAAUUUCUACUCACUACCGCCCCCUAUGUUUGAAUGGUGCUGGGUGCGCGGCUACACACACUCCCGUGUGUGUAUAACUUCUCGCGGGAUUUGCCUGAGAUCUCGCCAUGUGUCCACGAAUCUCGCGAGAUGUAAGGUAAAGUCCCAUGCAGUGGUUCGAGAUCUGGAUCUGAUUCCCCAAGCCGUGUGGAUCUGUCUAACUCAUGAACUUCUUCUCCAAGGUAGGUUUACUUUAUUAAAUAUGACUUAGUUCAUUAUAUGUGUUUUUACUCUAAACACACGUGGGUUGCAACUGUAGCAAAAACCGUUUCUCCGUUAUUCAGAUGGUACUACUUUAUAUGACAAGAUCGCUAGCUGCUCAUGCUAGCUAUAGUAGCUAUCAGUUGAGCUCUCGGGCUGUAACAUGUACAGACGAGAUCAGAAGCUCCCUCGUGUCCCCAAACCUCCGCGAUACACGUAAGAAAGCUGUAUAUUGUUCACGUGUUUCCCGUUUUAUGUCGGCGGGUUGUAUCUGUGAAACUAGCUCUGUUUAUGUAACUCUGCUGCGGUCUCACGGCGGCAAUUUACUUCCGGGUUGAGCUCGGCGAGAAAGAGCGGAUAUCACGAGCUGACUCGCGUCCCAAACCUUCGCGAUACACGUAAGAAAGCUGUGUGUUGUUAACGCGUUACCCGUUUUAAUUCGGCGGGUUGUAUCUGUGAAACUAGCUCUGUUUACGAAACUGCCGCUGUCUUCCGGCGGCAUUUGACUUCCGGUUUGAGAUCGGCGAAGAAGAGCGGAUAUAACGAGCUGACUCGCGUCCCAAACCUUCGUGUUACACGUAAGAAAGCUGUGUGUUGUUAACGUGUUCCCCGUUAUAAUUCGGCGGGUUAUAUCUGUGAAACUAGCUCUGUUUACGUAACUGCCGCGGUCUCACUUCCGGUUUGAGUUCUGCGAGAUGUAAACAAAGAUCACGUGACGCUAAACGUGCCGUGAUGUUUCCCCAGCUAACAUGACUCAAAUAGCUAGUGUAACACUAUAUUCUAUGUCUAAAUCGUGAAUACAGUAAGAGGCUGGUCAUCCUUCUCAUGCAGUUAUUGAAGGUUACUGUGGUCUGUUCUUUUGAGUUGAAGUCAUUGAAUGAGCAGUGUGUGCUGAUCAAUGCAUUGAGUAUUCUCAUUAAAAUAAUCUGUUGCUGGUCUGACAGCAUCUUAGCCUUAUUUGUUCAGCUGUAACUCUCACAAUGUAAAAUAGACUUGGGGUGCAAAUGGAAAAAUAUAUCACAAUAUAUUUUUAGCAUAUAUUCAGUGAUUCACCGUGUCAGCUCUUUGAUCCUUGUUGCAGUGUGACCUGUCGGAGUUGUCUUACAGUCACGGGCAGGAUGCAGUGUUACUUGCUCUGGUUACUUGUUUAAUGUUGUGAUUACUAUACGCUAUGAAAGGAACCCUUAUUUAUGCUUAGAAUUAUGUGAUCUAAAGCUGGGGUUCAGAGGUUUUAAAGUGUAUUUUGAAUAUUAAUCAGUGCAGCCCCCUAUAUGUUCUUGUUAGACUUUAGAAUAGGCCAUGCACACUGCUGUAAGUUAUUUGCCAUUUAAUAAACGUUUAAUAGACUUUUCAAAUAAAGUCACUUUGGUAACUUGUGAGUAUCUCAACAAACAUCAUUACUAUAAUUUCUAAAUGCAGUCUUUUUUUCAAUCUGAAUUCCAGGUGACACACAAUCAGGCUCCUGCUGUGGCAGUGGACACGGAGACGCCUUUAGACUGGACUACCUAUGAUGGAUGUGACCCAAAUAGAGCUACAGUCAGGUGACACACAAUCAGGCUCCUGCUGUGGCAGUGGACACGGAGACGCCUUUAGACUGGACUAGCUAUGAUGGAUGUGAUCCAAAUAGAGCUACCGUCAGGUGACACACAAUCAGGCUCCUGCUGUGGCAGUGGACACGGAGACGCCUUUAGACUGGACUACCUAUGAUGGAUGUGAUCCAAAUAGAGCUACCGUCAGGUGACACACAAUCAGGCUCCUGCUGUGGCAGUGGACACGGAGACGCCUUUAGACUGGACUACCUAUGAUGGAUGUGACCCAAAUAGAGCUACCGUCAGGUGACACACAAUCAGGCUCCUGCUGUGGCAGUGGACACGGAGACGCCUUUAGACUGGACUACCUAUGAUGGAUGUGACCCAAAUAGAGCUACCGUCAGGUGACACACAAUCAGGCUCCUGCUGUGGCAGUGGACACGGAGACGCCUUUAGACUGGACUACCUAUGAUGGAUGUGACCCAAAUAGAGCUACA